rnacentral:rRNA from 1 species
GACGAACGCUGGCGGCGCGCUUAACACAUGCAAGUCGAACGGAAAGGCCUGCUUUCCCUUGUGGAUUGCGGGUACUCGAGUGGCGAACGGGUGAGUAGCACGUGAGUGAUCUGCCCCCAACUUGGGUAUAAGCCUGGGAAACUGGGUCUAAUUCCCGAUAGGACUGCAGGGUGGUGCCUGUGGUGGAAAACGAUUUUCUAGUGGUUGGGGAUGAGCUCGCGGCCUAUCAGCUUGUUGGUGGGGUAAUGGCCUACCAAGGCGGCGACGGGUAGCCGGCCUGAGAGGGUGGACGGCCACAUUGGGACUGAGAUACGGCCCAGACUCCGACGGGAGGCAGCAGUGGGGAAUAUUGCACAAUGGGCGGAAGCCUGAUGCAGCGACGCCGCGUGGGGGAUGACGGCCUUCGGGUUGUAAACUCCUUUCGACCGCGAGGAAGCCACCUGGUUGGAAGGGUGGUGACGGUAGUGGUAGAAGAAGCACCGGCUAACUACGUG